UACGAGGGGGGCGAGCGUUGUUCGGAAUUAUUGGGCGUAAGGGGUGCGUAGGCGGCCUGACAAGUCUGAUGUGAAAUCCCUGGGCUCAACCCAGGGCCUGCAUCGGAAACUGUCGGGCUUGAGUAUGGGAGAGGUGAGUGGAAUUUCCGGUGUAGCGGUGAAAUGCGUAGAUAUCGGAAGGAACACCUGUGGCGAAAGCGGCUCACUGGACCAUUACUGACGCUGAGGCACGAAAGCUAGGGGAGCAAACAGG
rnacentral:rRNA from 1 species